ACCUGACUGAGAAGAGUAUCUCGCUUGCCCACAUGGUUAAUCUAUAACAAGUUGCUUGGAUAUGAAUGUACAUGGGUUCUUGGAAUAAUCUGUUUUUCCCCUGUAAUACUAAAAUGUUUAAUCAUAUAAGGGAUAUGGAAAACAUGCUGUUUUUUACUGUGUGUUUGUAUUCAUUGUAAUCAUUCACUUGAAAAACAGAAUGUAACCACGUUGUAACUUUUAUGUCACCUGAAAGAUUAUGCUGGGGUAUAUAGGCUGCAGGAAAAAGAAUAAAGGUAGGGUUAAAAUGGGCUAGAAGGAAAACAUCAAGAAGGAGAGGGUCAAAACUACAAGGGAGACAUCAGGAGUAAAGACAGAGUCAGAAGGAAAACAUGAAGAAUGAGAGAAGGAAAUCACCAGGAAAAUAAAGAACAGAGAAUGCAAAAGAAGAAUAAAGAAAAAGCCUGUAGGAAACCAUCAAGAGAGUGUAUGCCUGAGCACCUGCCGCCAUGCCAGCUGGACCUCGAUAGACCGUGAUGGACUGCAUCCUCAGACUGUGAGCCACAACAAGCCCUUCCUCACUCUGGUUACUUUUGUCAAGGCUUUUGUCACAGAGAAAAUGACUAAUAUUUAAGACAUGGUAUCGGGCUAUUUGUCAAUCAUUUAAUAAACACAGCACAACUGCCUGGCA